rnacentral:rRNA from 1 species
AGAGUUUGAUCCUGGCUCAGGAUGAACGCUGGCGGCGUGGAUAAGGCAUGCAAGUCGAACGGACUUUAUUUUUCCAGAGAUGCGAUUAUAUCAAGUCAAAGGUCGUUUAAAGUUAGUGGCGAACGAGGUAGUAAUACAUAGGAACUUCCCCCUAAGUCGUGAACAACUCACCGAAAGGUGAGCUAAUACACGAUAGUCUCUCCGGAGUAAAGUUUUUCGCUUAGGGAAAGGCCUGUGAAGUAUCAGCUAGUUGGCAGUGUAAUGGACUACCAAGGCUAUGACGCUUAGGGGAGCUGAGAGGCUGACCCUCACCGAUGGGACUGAGACACGGCCCAUACACCUACGGGUGGCUGCAGUCGAGAAUCUUCCGCAAUGGACGAAAGUCUGACGGAGCGACGCCGCGUGAUUGAUGAAGCUCUUCGGAGUGUAAAGAUCUUUUAUGAGGGAAGAAGUUUAUUGACGGUACCUCAUGAAUAAGGGGCUCCUAAUCUCGUGCCAGCAGGAGCGGUAAUACGAGAGCCCCGAGCGUUAUCCGGAAUUAUUGGGCGUAAAGGGUGCGUAGGUGGUAGUGUUAGUCGUUUGUCAAAUCUCCAGGCUUAACCUGGAAACCGCGAACGAAACGGCACAACUAGAGAGUGUGAGGGGUAUAGGGAACUCAUGGUGUAGGGGGUGAAAUCCGUUGAUAUCAUGGGGAACACCAAAAGCGAAGGCACUAUACUAGCACAUGUCUGACACUCAAGCACGAAAGCGUGGGUAGCGAAUGGGAUUAGAUACCCCAGUAGUCCACGCCCUAAACGAUGAUCUCUAGUCUUUCGGAGUAUCGACCCUCUGAGAGACGUAGCUCACGCGUUAAGAGAUCCGCCUGGGAAGUACGGCCGCAAGGCUAAAACUCAAAGGAAUAGACGGGGACUUGCACAAGUAGUGGAUUAUGUGGUUUAAUUCGAUGAUAAACGAAGAACCUUACCAAGGUUAGAAAUCUACGUGAAAGCUCUAAGAAACUAGAGCCCUCGCAAGACUAGUAGACAGGUGAUGCAUGGCCGUCGUCAGUUCGUGGUUUGAAUUGUUCCCUUAAGUGGGGUAACGAACGCAACCCUCGUCGUGUGUUAUAAGUGUCACACGAGACUGCCCCGAACUUUGCGCAGAAACUUUAGUAGUCGGACUACUCAAAAGUAGUCCGACUACUUACAAAGUUUAUGCUUAAAGUUCGGGGAGGAAGGGGAGGAUGACGCCAGGUCAGCAUGUCCCUUGAUACCUUGGGCUACACACAUAAUACAAUCGCAAUUACAACGGGCAGCGACGGGGUAACCCUGAGCGAAUCCUAAUAAAAAUUGCGCCAGUUCGGAUUGGGGGCUGCAACUCGACCCCAUGAAGUUGGAAUUACUAGUAAUCGCGGGUCAGAUAUACCGCGGUGAAUACGUUCUCGC